rnacentral:rRNA from 1 species
GGGGAAUAUUGGACAAUGGGCGCAAGCCUGAUCCAGCCAUGCCGCGUGAGUGAUGAAGGCCCUAGGGUUGUAAAGCUCUUUCGCUAGGGACGAUAAUGACGGUACCUAGACAAGAAGCCCCGGCUAACUUCGUGCCAGCAGCCGCGGUAAUACGAAGGGGGCUAGCGUUGCUCGGAAUCACUGGGCGUAAAGCGCAUGUAGGCGGAUCGUUAAGUCAGGGGUGAAAGCCCGAGGCUCAACCUCGGAACUGCCCUUGAUACUGGCAAUCUUGAGUCCGGGAGAGGUGAGUGGAAUGCCGAGUGUAGAGGUGAAAUUCGUAGAUAUUCGGCGGAACACCAGUGGCGAAGGCGGCUCACUGGCCCGGUACUGACGCUGAGAUGCGAAAGCGUGGGGAGCAAAC